rnacentral:rRNA from 1 species
GUAGGUGGCAAGCGUUGUCCGGAAUUAUUGGGCGUAAAGCGCGCGCAGGCGGGGUCCUUUAAGUCUGAUGUGAAAGCCCACGGGCUCAACCGUGGAGGGUCAUUGGAAACUGGGGGACUUGAGUACAGAAGAGGAAAGCGGAAUUCCAAGUGUAGCGGUGAAAUGCGUAGAGAUUUGGAGGAACACCAGUGGCGAAGGCGGCUUUCUGGUCUGUAACUGACGCUGAGGCGCGAAAGCGUGGGGAGCAAACAGGAUUAGAUACCCUGGUAGUCCGCGCCGUAAACGAUGAGUGCUAAGUGUUAGGGGGUUUCCGCCCCUUAGUGCUGCAGCUAACGCAUUAAGCACUCCGCCUGGGGAGUACGGCCGCAAAGGCUG